GGAAUCUUGCACAAUGGUCGCAAGGCUGAUGCAGCGACGCCGCAUGGGGGAUGACAGCCCUCGGGUUGUAAACCCCUACUCAACGGGAGGAAUUAGGAUGUCAGGCAAUGGGCAUCCGAUGACGUUACCGUUGAAAUUAGCUCCGGCUAACUACGUGCCAGCAGCCGCGGUAAUACGUAGGGAGCAAGCGUUAUCCGGAAUCACUGGGCGUAAAGGGUGUGCAGGCGGGCAUGCAAGUCCGACGUGAAAGCCCCGGGCUCAACUCGGGAAUUGCGUUGGAAACUGCAUGUCUUGAGGACCAGAGAGGUAGGCGGAAUUCGCGGUGUAGCGGUGAAAUGCGUAGAUAUCGCGAGGAACACCAGUGGCGAAAGCGGCCUACUAGAUGGUUCCUGACGCUGAGACACGAAAGCGUGGGUAGCGAACG
rnacentral:rRNA from 1 species